rnacentral:rRNA from 1 species
CGGGGAAUAUUGCGCAAUGGGCGAAAGCCUGACGCAGCAACGCCGCGUGAGGGAUGAAGGCUCUCGGGUUGUAAACCUCUUUCAGCAGGGACGAAAUCAGACGGUACCUGCAGAAGAAGCCCCGGCCAACUACGUGCCAGCAGCCGCGGUAACACGUAGGGGGCGAGCGUUGUCCGGAUUUAUUGGGCGUAAAGAGCUCGUAGGCGGUUCGAUAAGUCGGGUGUGAAAACUCUGGGCUCAACUCAGAGACGCCACCCGAUACUGUUGUGACUUGAGUCCGGUAGGGGAGUAUGGAAUUCCCGGUGUAGCGGUGAAAUGCGCAGAUAUCGGGAGGAACACCAGUGGCGAAGGCGGUACUCUGGGCCGGAACUGACGCUGAGGAGCGAAAGCGUGGGUAGCGAA